UACAGGGGGUGCAAGCGUUGCUCGGAAUCAUUGGGCGUAAAGCGCACGUAGGCGGUCUGUUAUGUCGGAUGUGAAAGCCCUUGGCUCAACUGAGGAAGUGCAUCCGAAACUGGCAGGCUAGAGUACUAAAGAGGAUCGCGGAAUUCCCGGUGUAGAGGUGAAAUUCGUAGAUAUUGGGAAGAACACCGAUGGCGAAGGCAGCCAUCUGGACCGACACUGACGCUGAGGCGCGAAAGCGUGGGGAGCAAACAGG
rnacentral:rRNA from 1 species